rnacentral:rRNA from 1 species
GACGAACGCUGGCGGCGUGCUUAACACAUGCAAGUCGAACGCUGAAGCUCAGCAUUUGUUGGACGGAUGAGUGGCGAACGGGUGAGUAACACGUGAGUAACCUGCUCCCUUCUUUGGGAUAACGCCCGGAAACGGGUGCUAAUACUGGAUAUCCAAUGGUCUUCGCAUGGGGGCUGGUGGAAAGGGUCUUUCUGGUGGGGGAUGGGCUCGCGGCCUAUCAGCUUGUUGGUGGGGUGAUGGCCUACCAAGGCUCUGACGGGUAGCCGGCCUGAGAGGGUGACCGGUCUCAUCGGGACUGAGAUACGUCCCAGACUCCUACGGGAGGCAGACGUGGGGAAUAUUGCACAGUGGGCGCAAGCCUGAUGCAGCGACGCAGCGUGAGGGCUGGCGGCCUUCGGGUUGUGAACCUCUUGCGCUUAUGGUCAAGCCGCAACAAUCGUUGUGGUGAGAGUAGUGGGUAAAGAAGCGCCGGCUAACGACGUG